rnacentral:sRNA from 1 species
CGGCCUGCGUUGCGUGGGCUUGUGGGUCUUUGAGACCCGAAAAUUGAGAGCGUUUUCGCACUCCAGGGGCUGCUGCUGGCGGCUCUGCGGCCGUCACCAUGCCACAGAACGAAUAUAUUGAAUUACACCGUAAACGCUAUGGAUACCGUCUGGAUUACCAUGAGAAAAAGAGAAAGAAGGAAAGUCGAGAGGCUCAUGAACGUUCAAAGAAGGCAAAGAAAAUGAUUGGUCUGAAGGCUAAGCUUUACCAUAAACAGCGUCAUGCUGAGAAAAUACAAAUGAAAAAGACUAUCAAGAUGCACGAAAAGAGAAACACCAAACAAAAGAAUGAUGAAAAGACUCCACAGGGAGCAGUACCUGCCUAUCUGCUGGACAGAGAGGGACAAUCUCGAGCUAAAGUACUUUCCAAUAUGAUUAAACAGAAACGAAAAGAGAAGGCGGGAAAAUGGGAAGUCCCUCUGCCUAAAGUACGUGCCCAGGGAGAAACAGAAGUAUUAAAAGUUAUUCGAACAGGAAAAAGAAAGAAGAAGGCAUGGAAGAGGAUGGUUACUAAAGUGUGCUUUGUUGGAGAUGGCUUUACAAGAAAACCACCUAAAUAUGAAAGAUUCAUCAGGCCAAUGCAGUUCGAAAACUUGAGUAGGACUGUUUUGUAAGAGUCAAUUCCAGUUUGAUAAGUAUCUAAAUGCUCUGAAAAUCAUUGAAAAGCCGGGCGCGGUGGCUCACGCCUGUAAUCCCAGCACUUUGGGAGGCCGAGGCAGGCAGAUCAUGAGGUCAUGAGAUCGAGACCAUCC